rnacentral:lncRNA from 1 species
GAAAACAGAGGUGGGGGUGUCUGGUGAAGUGGACCUUGCUGCCUGCCUAACAGACGAACUGCACCUGCCUGGGAGCCCUACCUCUUCAGUAUCUCCCCCAAACACGCCCAGACACCUAAGCAGAUAGGAAUGUCAAGAUCUUCAGUGAAAACUGCUGAGAAACUGUAAGAGACGCAAUCUAGCCAAGCAAGGCGGUGGUUCACACCUCUCAUCCCAGCUACUCGGGAGGCUGAGGCAGGAGUUUUGGUGAUGGAAGACAGCCACCAGGAAACCCUGCCGAAAGAAUGGGUCAGAUCAAUAAUCUGAGCGGUCCCAGUCCUCCUCCAAUGGCUGAUGGAUGAGGAAGGAAGUCACUCUGAAAACUCAGGUUUACACAACAUCUACUUGUACAAUCAAGCACACACUCUCAGGCUGCAUGAAGUACUGUCGCAGACAGGACUGCAAACCCUCUCAGGGGUGAGAAUGGCUGGCAGCAGUGCUCAGGAGAGGGAUGUGGCAGGAGUCAGCUCCUAGGAAGUGCCAGCGCCCACGCACCUGUGAGCUCCUGGAGUCUGACUCACCGGGUAAGUGAAUUCUUGUAAUUUCCACAAACAGCCCUGGGGUUCCCCUAAACCAGACCGUGAGCCUCUUG